UAGCUCAGUGGUAGAGCACUUGUCUAGCAUAUGAAAGACCCUGGGUUCGAUCCCCAG
rnacentral:tRNA from 1 species